rnacentral:rRNA from 1 species
GAUGAACGCUGGCGGCGUGCCUAAUACAUGCAAGUCGAGCGAACAGACGAGGAGCUUGCUCCUCUGACGUUAGCGGCGGACGGGUGAGUAACACGUGGAUAACCUACCUAUUAGACUGGGAUAACUUCGGGAAACCGGAGCUAAUACCGGAUAAUAUAUUGAACCGCAUGGUUCAAUAGUGAAAGACGGUUUUGCUGUCACUUAUAGAUGGAUCCGCGCCGCAUUAGCUAGUUGGUAAGGUAACGGCUUACCAAGGCAACGAUGCGUAGCCGACCUGAGAGGGUGAUCGGCCACACUGGAACUGAGACACGGUCCAGACUCCUACGGGAGGCAGCAGUAGGGAAUCUUCCGCAAUGGGCGAAAGCCUGACGGAGCAACGCCGCGUGAGUGAUGAAGGUCUUCGGAUCGUAAAACUCUGUUAGUAGGGAAGAACAAAUGUGUAAGUAACUAUGCACGUCUUGACGGUACCUAAUCAGAAAGCCACGGCUAACUACGUG